GAGAAAUGGCUGAGUGGUUAAAAGCGGCAGACUGUAAAUUUGUUGAAAUAAUUUCUACGU
rnacentral:tRNA from 1 species